GGCGACGGGUGAGGAACACGUGAGAAAUCUGCCUUCAACUCUGGGAUAACUCCGGGAAACCGGGGCUAAUACCGGAUAUGAAACCUUCAGGCAUCUGAGGGUUUGGAAAGUUUUUCGGUUGAAGAUGAUCUCGCGGCCUAUCAGCUUGUUGGUGAGGUAAUGGCUCACCAAGGCGACGACGGGUAGCCGGCCUGAGAGGGCGACCGGCCACACUGGGACUGAGACACGGCCCAGACUCCUACGGGAGGCAGCAGUGGGGAAUAUUGGGCAAUGGAGGAAACUCUGACCCAGCGACGCCGCGUGCGGGAUGAAGGCCUUCGGGUUGUAAACCGCUUUCAGCAGGGAAGAAGCGAAAGUGACGGUACCUGCAGAAGAAGCACCGGCUAACUAUGUGCCAGCAGCCGCGGUAAUACAUAGGGUGCAAGCGUUGUCCGGAAUUAUUGGGCGUAAAGAGCUCGUAGGUGGUUCGUCACGUCGGAUGUGAAACUCUGGGGCUUAACCCCAGACCUGCAUUCGAUACGGGCGAGCUUGAGUAUGGUAGGGGAGUCUGGAAUUCCUGGUGUAGCGGUGGAAUGCGCAGAUAUCAGGAGGAACACCAAUGGCGAAGGCAGGACUCUGGGCCAUUACUGACACUGAGGAGCGAAAGCGUGGGGAGCGAACAGGAUUAGAUACCCUGGUAGUCCACGCCGUAAACGGUGGGCACUAGUUGUGGGGACCUUCCACGGUCUCUGCGACGCAGCUAACGCAUUAAGUGCCCCGCCUGGGGAGUACGAUCGCAAGAUUAAAACUCAA
rnacentral:rRNA from 1 species